CCUACGGGUGGCAGCAGUGAGGAAUAUUGGUCAAUGGACGAGAGUCUGAACCAGCCAAGUAGCGUGAAGGAUGACUGCCCUAUGGGUUGUAAACUUCUUUUAUAUGGGAAUAAAACGUUCCACGUGUGGGAUUUUGUAUGUACCAUAUGAAUAAGGAUCGGCUAACUCCGUGCCAGCAGCCGCGGUAAUACGGAGGAUCCGAGCGUUAUCCGGAUUUAUUGGGUUUAAAGGGAGCGUAGGUGGAUUGUUAAGUCAGUUGUGAAAGUUUGCGGCUCAACCGUAAAAUUGCAGUUGAAACUGGCAGUCUUGAGUACAGUAGAGGUGGGCGGAAUUCGUGGUGUAGCGGUGAAAUGCUUAGAUAGCACGAAGAACUCCGAUUGCGAAGGCAGUUCACUGGACUGCAACUGACACUGAGGCUCGAAAGUGUGGGUAUCAAACAGGAUUAGAUACCCCGGUAGUU
rnacentral:rRNA from 1 species